rnacentral:misc_RNA from 1 species
UGCUCAACUAAUCCCAUGUUGGCAGCU